UGACAUACACUGCGACAUGCCAGAGAUGGUGUGGCCUUCGGGGUGGUGUACAGGUGGUGCAUGGUUGUCGUCAGCUCGUGUCGUGAGAUGUUGGGUUAAGUCCCGCAACGAGCGCAACCCUUGCCUCAUGUUGCCAGCACGUUAUGGUGGGGACUCGUGAGGGACUGCCGGGGUUAACUCGGAGGAGGGUGGGGAUGACGUCAAAUCAUCAUGCCCCUUAUGUCUUGGGCUUCACGCAUGCUACAAUGGCCAGUACAGAGGGUUGCGAUACCGUGAGGUGGGGCUAAUCUCUUAAAGCUGGUCUCGGUUCGGAUUGGGGUCUGCAACUCGACCCCAUGAAGUUGGAGUCGCUAGUAAUCGCAGAUCAGA
rnacentral:rRNA from 1 species